rnacentral:rRNA from 1 species
GAUGAACGCUGGCGGCGUGCUUAACACAUGCAAGUCGAACGGAAAGGCUCCUGCUUGCAGGGGUACUCGAGUGGCGAACGGGUGAGUAACACGUGGGUGAUCUGCCCUUCACUUCGGGAUAAGCCUGGGAAACUGGGUCUAAUACCGGAUAGGACUAUUGGUUGGAUGCCAUUGUGGAAAGUUUUUCGGUGUGGGAUGAGCUCGCGGCCUAUCAGCUUGUUGGUGGGGUAAUGGCCUACCAAGGCGUCGACGGGUAGCCGGCCUGAGAGGGUGUACGGCCACAUUGGGCCUGAGAUACGGCCCAGACUCCUACGGGAGGCAGCAGUGGGGAAUAUUGCACAAUGGGCGCAAGCCUGAUGCAGCGACGCCGCGUGGGGGAUGACGGCCUUCGGGUUGUAAACUCCUUUCGCUAGGGACGAAGCGAAAGUGACGGUACCUGGAGAAGAAGCACCGGCUAACUACGUG